AUUGAACGCUGGCGGCAGGCCUAACACAUGCAAGUCGAACGAGUGGCGGACGGGUGAGUAAUGUCUGGGAAACUGCCUGAUGGAGGGGGAGAACUACUGGAAACGGUAGCUAAGACAGCAGACCAGCAGAUGUGCCCAGAUGGGAUUAGCUUGUUGGUGGGGUAACGGCUCACCAAGGCGACGAUCCCUAGCUGGUCUGAGAGGAUGACCAGCCCCUCUGGAACUGGGACACGGUCCCGACUCCUACGCGAGGAAGCAGUGGGGUAUAUUGAACUAUGGGCGCGAGCCUGAUGCCGCUUUGCCGAGUGUGUUAGGAAGGCCUUCGGGUUGUAAAGUACUUUCAGCGGGGAGACGUUCCCCGCAGAAGAAGCACCGGCUAACUCCGUGCCAGCAGCCGCGGUAAUAC
rnacentral:rRNA from 1 species